AGUGAACGCUGGCGGCAGGCCUAACACAUGCAAGUCGAGCGGCAGCGGGUCCUUCGGGAUGCCGGCGAGCGGCGGACGGGUGAGGAAUGCAUCGGAAUCUGCCCUGUCGUGGGGGAUAACCUAGGGAAACUUAGGCUAAUACCGCAUACGACCCACGGGUGAAAGCGGGGGAUCGCAAGACCUCGCGCGAUAGGAUGAGCCGAUGUCCGAUUAGCUAGUUGGCGGGGUAAAGGCCCACCAAGGCGACGAUCGGUAGCUGGUCUGAGAGGAUGAUCAGUCACGCUGGGACUGAGACACGGCCCAGACUCCUACGGGAGGCAGCAGUGGGGAAUAUUGGACAAUGGGCGCAAGCCUGAUCCAGCCAUGCCGCGUGGGUGAAGAAGGCCUUCGGGUUGUAAAGCCCUUUUGUCCGGGAAGAAAUCGUCUGGGCUAAUACCCCGGGCGGAUGACGGUACCGGAAGAAUAAGCACCGGCUAACUUCGUG
rnacentral:rRNA from 1 species